GACGAACGCUGGCGGCGUGCCUAAUACAUGCAAGUAGAACGCUGAAGGAGGAGCUUGCUCUUCUGGAUGAGUUGCGAACGGGUGAGUAACGCGUAGGUAACCUGCCUGGUAGCGGGGGAUAACUAUUGGAAACGAUAGCUAAUACCGCAUAAGAGUAGAUGUUGCAUGACAUUUGCUUAAAAGGUGCAAUUGCAUCACUACCAGUUGGACCUGCGUUGUAUUAGCUAGUUGGUGGGGUAACGGCUCACCAAGGCGACGAUACAUAGCCGACCUGGGAGGGGGAUCGGCCACACUGGGACUGAGACACGGCCCAGACUCCUACGGGAGGCAGCAGUAGGGAAUCUUCGGCAAUGGACGGAAGUCUGACCGAGCAACGCCGCGUGAGUGAAGAAGGUUUUCGGAUCGUAAAGCUCUGUUGUAAGAGAAGAACGAGUGUGAGAGUGGAAAGUUCACACUGUGACGGUAGCUUACCAGAAAGGGACGGCUAACUACGUG
rnacentral:rRNA from 1 species